GAUGAACGCUGGCGGCGUGCCUAAUACAUGCAAGUCGAGCGAACAGACGAGGCGCUUGCUCCUCUGACGUUAGCGGCGGACGGGUGAGUCACACGUGUAUAACCUACCUAUAAGACUGGGAUCACUUCGGGAAACCGGAGCUAAUACCGGAUAAUAUAUUGAACCGCAUGGUUCAAUAGUGAAAGACGGUUUUGCUGUCACUUAUAGAUGGUUCCGGGCCGCAUUGGCUAGUUGGUAAGGUAACGGCUUACCAAGGCGACGAUGCGUAGCCGACCUGGGAGGGGGUUCGGCCACCCUGAAACUGAGACACGGUCCAGACCCCUAGGGAAGGCAGAGGUAGGGAAUCUUGCGCAAUGGGGGAAAGCCUGACGAAGCAACGCCGGGUGGGUGAUGAAGGUCUUCGGAUGGUAAAACUCUUUUAUUGGGGAAGAACGAAUGUGUAUGUAACUAUGCACGUCUGAACGGUACCUAAUCAGAAGGCCACGCCUAACUACGG
rnacentral:rRNA from 1 species